UGGAAGGGUGGCAGCUCCUGGGCAGCUGGGGAAUCGGCCAUGGUUCCUCAGAGAAUCACACUGCCAUUGGGGGAAGAACUAGCUGAGAUUAUGGUACAUUCACGACCCCAUUUCCUCAGAUUCACUCACAGAGGGCACCUCUUCUCACAUGCAUUGCAACACCAUGUACCUUCGUUCCUGCUCAUUCUGAGUUAGUAUCUGUUCUAGAUAAAGAGCUGUGAUUGACUAGUGGCUCAUCCUGUGCCCGUUCUUACAGAGGCGCCAUGUAGUAAUUGAGUUCUCACGUCACUUCUGAAAGACGGACUGCGAUCAUUCCUGUAUUCCAGAACAUCAACCUUUCUCCACUCGGCAAAGACAAGUUUCAACAGAUACUGGGUUCAACGGGAGACGCAUUUUCCAUUUUCCAUGGCAAAGAAUCCGAGCACCGGAAUAAGUCAGAGGUAUCAUUUGCCGAAUGUGUUUGUAAAGACAGUUUAAUUUCAGGCCCUUUAUUUGCGAGAGAGCUGGCUAACCCAAAUAAAACAUUAUCCAUC